AAUUUGAAAUUCGAGUUCUUAGCCAUUUUUUUUAGUUUUGAAAUAGCCAGUAUGACGAAACGGCAAUUUCAUAGGUAAAGACUUAAUAAAGUAUCCAUAGGGCUGCCAGGUUGUCAAUCCUAGUAGCCCGACAAUCUAGCUUGUCCGAACAUCCUAAAUUAUUAAGGAUUUUUUGUCUAAAUACGCACUUUAUCAUUACGACAUAUGACCAUUUUUUUUUUGUUAGGUACAACCUGGGUUUUUUACUUUAAAAGAAAAUAAAACUAAAGAAACUUGUCGUUUGAAACUUUAAAAGAUCUUACAGUAAGAUUUAGUAAGGUUUGCCUGUACCUAUCUAUUUUAAAAAAUGACAUUCUGUGACGAUACUAAAAUCAUUUUUCAUGUAGUUUUAAUAUAUCUGUAAUUGU